rnacentral:rRNA from 1 species
AUUGAACGCUGGCGGCAGGCUUAACACAUGCAAGUCGAGCGGGGUGAUGGUGCUUGCACUAUCACUUAGCGGCGGACGGGUGAGUAAUGCUUAGGAAUCUGCCUAUUAGUGGGGGACAACAUCUCGAAAGGGAUGCUAAUACCGCAUACGUCCUACGGGAGAAAGCAGGGGAUCACUUGUGACCUUGCGCUAAUAGAUGAGCCUAAGUCGGAUUAGCUAGUUGGUGGGGUAAAGGCCUACCAAGGCGACGAUCUGUAGCGGGUCUGAGAGGAUGAACCGCCGCACUGGGACUGAGCCACGGCCCAGACUCCUACGGGAGGCAGCAGUGGGGAAUAUUGGACAAUGGGGGGAACCCUGAUCCAGCCAUGCCGCGUAUGUGAAGAAGGCCUUAUGGUUGUAAAGCACUUUAAGCGAGGAGGAGGCUCUUUUGGUUAAUACCCAAGAUGAGUGGACGUUACUCGCAGAAUAAGCCCCGGCUAACUUCGUGCCAGCCGCCGCGGUAA